rnacentral:rRNA from 1 species
UGCAGUCGAACGGUGAACACGGAGCUUGCUCUGUGGGAUCAGUGGCGAACGGGUGAGUAACACGUGAGCAACCUGCCCCUGACUCUGGGAUAAGCGCUGGAAACGGCGUCUAAUACUGGAUACGAGUAGCGGCCGCAUGGUCAGUUACUGGAAAGAUUUAUUGGUUGGGGAUGGGCUCGCGGCCUAUCAGCUUGUUGGUGAGGUAAUGGCUCACCAAGGCGUCGACGGGUAGCCGGCCUGAGAGGGUGACCGGCCACACUGGGACUGAGACACGGCCCAGACUCCUACGGGAGGCAGCAGUGGGGAAUAUUGCACAAUGGGCGGAAGCCUGAUGCAGCAACGCCGCGUGAGGGAUGACGGCCUUCGGGUUGUAAACCUCUUUUAGCAGGGAAGAAGCGAAAGUGACGGUACCUGCAGAAAAAGCACCGGCUAACUACGUGCCAGCAGCCGCGGUAAUACGUAGGGUGCAAGCGUUAUCCGGAAUUAUUGGGCGUAAAGAGCUCGUAGGCGGUUUGUCGCGUCUGCUGUGAAAUCCGGAGGCUCAACCUCCGGCCUGCAGUGGGUACGGGCAGACUAGAGUGCGGUAGGGGAGAUUGGAAUUCCUGGUGUAGCGGUGGAAUGCGCAGAUAUCAGGAGGAACACCGAUGGCGAAGGCAGAUCUCUGGGCCGUUACUGACGCUGAGGAGCGAAAGGGUGGGGAGCAAACAGGCUUAGAUACCCUGGUAGUCCACCCCGUAAACGUUGGGAACUAGUUGUGGGGUCCAUUCCACGGAUUCCGUGACGCAGCUAACGCAUUAAGUUCCCCGCCUGGGGAGUACGGCCGCAAGGCUAAAACUCAAAGGAAUUGACGGGGACCCGCACAAGCGGCGGAGCAUGCGGAUUAAUUCGAUGCAACGCGAAGAACCUUACCAAGGCUUGACAUAUACG